rnacentral:lncRNA from 1 species
UAAGCUCAUAACCCAAAAAAAAAAAAAAAAAAAAGACGCUAGUCACACCACCCUGGUAGGCAGGGUGCAGCUGACAGGAAUGCUUUAAGUCUGACAUCUGGGAGGUUUGCAAAACAUUACAUUUUAGCUAAGCAUAGUGGUGCACACCUUUAGUCCCAGCACUCUAGGGGGCAGAGGCAGGUGGUUCUCUUGAGUUCAAGGCCAGCCUGUCUACACAUCAGGUUCCAGGACAGCCAGGGCUACACAGAGAAACCCUGUCUCAAAAAAGGCACUUUUUUUUCUGUAUAAGACCCUUAAUAUCUAAUAAUGUAAGUGGUCAAAAAUAUUUCUAACAUUUCUUAUGGUAGUUUGUACAGGGGUCUGUAAAUACCUGACUGCCUGGGCUAUUUUCUGUUUGCUGACCAACAAGGCCCAUUAUUUCAGCCGUAACAGAUUGGAUGGACCAACUUUAAUUUGCAAAAUGUUGUUAAGGAGCAGAAGAAUGAGUUGGGCAGAAGGGAAAAGCAAGCGUGGCCUUUGUUUGUAGCGCUGGGGAUGGGACACAAGCAGGGAAGCAGUCUUGCUGAGCAGAGUGCUUGCGAAAGGGCACCGGUGACUUAAUGUUCAGGACCACAGCUGUAAGCGGCUGUUAGAUGCUGACUUGAGCUGGGUGUGCAGACCAUCCUCUGCCAUCCAGGCCAGCCGUAGCUAGAUGAUGAGACCCUGUGAAUAGGUGAUCACUGUGUAGAGCUGAAUAGUCUCUGAAUUUGGAAAUUGUUAGGCUAGUGUGUGAUUGUAUACAUUUUUGUGAGGUUUUGGGGUAGGGGAAGGGAGGUAGAGCAGGUCUUUCUAUGUAGUCCUGGCUGUCCUGGAACUCAAUAUGUAGACCAGGAUGUUCUUAAACUCAAGAGAUCCUUCUGCCUCAGUGCUGAGUUAAAAGACCUGGGCAACCAUACCAGGGAUUUUUGUUGAUUUUUAACAUUAACUAUGACAG